AGAGUUUGAUCCUGGCUCAGGAUGAACGCUAGCGGCAGGCUUAACACAUGCAAGUCGAGGGGCAGCGGGGAGGAAGCUUGCUUUCUCCGCCGGCGACCGGCGCACGGGUGAGUAACACGUAUGCAACCUGCCCCUGUCAGGGGGACAACCCGCCGAAAGGCGGGCUAAACCCGCGUACAUGCCACCGGGGUAUCCCGGAGGCAGGAAAGGCUUCGGCCGGACAGGGAUGGGCAUGCGGCGCAUUAGGCAGUAGGCGGGGUAACGGCCCACCUAACCGACGAUGCGUAGGGGUUCUGAGAGGAAGGUCCCCCACACUGGUACUGAGACACGGACCAGACUCCUACGGGAGGCAGCAGUGAGGAAUAUUGGUCAAUGGUCGGGAGACUGAACCAGCCAAGCCGCGUGAGGGAUGAAGGUACAGAGUAUCGUAAACCUCUUUUGUCAGGGAACAAAGGCGGGGACGCGUCCCCGGAUGAGUGUACCUGAAGAAAAAGCAUCGGCUAACUCCGUGCCAGCAGCCGCGGUAAUACGGAGGAUGCGAGCGUUAUCCGGAUUUAUUGGGUUUAAAGGGUGCGCAGGCGGUUUGUUAAGUCAGCGGUCAAAGCCCGGGGCUCAACCCCGGCCCGCCGUUGAAACUGGCAGUCUCGAGUUGGAGAGAAGUAUGCGGAAUGCGCGGUGUAGCGGUGAAAUGCAUAGAUAUCGCGCAGAACUCCGAUUGCGAAGGCAGCAUGCCGGCUCCACACUGACGCUGAGGCACGAAAGCGUGGGUAUCGAACAGGAUUAGAUACCCUGGUAGUCCACGCAGUAAACGAUGAAUGCUGGCUGUCCGGGGGGACUGACCCCUGGGUGGCGAAGCGAAAGCGAUAAGCAUUCCACCUGGGGAGUACGCCGGCAACGGUGAAACUCAAAGGAAUUGACGGGGGCCCGCACAAGCGGAGGAACAUGUGGUUUAAUUCGAUGAUACGCGAGGAACCUUACCCGGGCUCAAACGGGGAGUGGCGCAGGCAGAGACGCCUGUUUCCCACGGGACACUCCCCGAGGUGCUGCAUGGUUGUCGUCAGCUCGUGCCGUGAGGUGUCGGCUUAAGUGCCAUAACGAGCGCAACCCCCGCGUGCAGUUGCUAACAGUCAACGCUGAGGACUCUGCACGGACUGCCGGCGCAAGCCGCGAGGAAGGCGGGGAUGACGUCAAAUCAGCACGGCCCUUACGUCCGGGGCGACACACGUGUUACAAUGGGUGGUACAGCGGGAAGCCAGGCGGCGACGCCGAGCGGAACCCGAAAUCCACUCUCAGUUCGGAUCGGAGUCUGCAACCCGACUCCGUGAAGCUGGAUUCGCUAGUAAUCGCGCAUCAGCCAUGGCGCGGUGAAUACGUUCCCGGGCCUUGCACUCACCGCCCGUCAAG
rnacentral:rRNA from 1 species